CAUCACUCUCAGUAGGUGGACUGCGGAGGAUCAUUACAGAGUUCAUGCCCGAAAGGGUAGACCUCCCACCCUUGUGUAUUAUUACUUUGUUGCUUUGGCGAGCUGCCUUCGGGCCUUGUAUGCUCGCCAGAGAAUACCAAAACUCUUUUUAUUAAUGUCGUCUGAGUACUAUAUAAUAGUUAAAACUUUCAACAACGGAUCUCUUGGUUCUGGCAUCGAUGAAGAACGCAGCGAAAUGCGAUAAGUAAUGUGAAUUGCAGAAUUCAGUGAAUCAUCGAAUCUUUGAACGCACAUUGCGCCCCUUGGUAUUCCGGGGGGCAUGCCUGUUCGAGCGUCAUUUCAACCCUCAAGCUUAGCUUGGUAUUGAGUCUAUGUCAGUAAUGGCAGGCUCUAAAAUCAGUGGCGGCGCCGCUGGGUCCUGAACGUAGUAAUUAUCUCUCGUUACAGGUUCUCGGUGUGCUUCUGCCAAAACCCAAAUUUUUCUAUGGUUGACCUCGGAUCAGGUAGGGAUACCCGCUGAACUUAAGCAUAUCAAUAAGC
rnacentral:rRNA from 1 species